ACACGACUACAUUAGAUACCCCGGUAGUCCCAGCCCUAAACGAUGCGCGUUAGGUGUGUCGGUAACCACGUGUUACUGAUGCGCCGAAGAGAAAUCGUGAAACGCACCACCUGGGAAGUACGGUCGCAAGGCUGAAACUUAAAGGAAUUGGCGGGGAGCACCACAACAGGUGGAGCCUGCGGUUUAAUUGGAUUCAACGCCGGACAUCUCACCGGGUAAGACAGCUGAAUGAUUGUCAAUCUGAAGGUUUUACAUGACUAGCUG
rnacentral:rRNA from 1 species